UUUAUUAUUUCUUAAUCAACUAUAAACUAUAUUAUUCCAAAUUAAAAAUAAUAUUAGUAAUAUUGCAACUGAAACCACAUAUGUGAUAGCACUUGUGAUAUUUUUGCACAAAUAUCGCUAUGAAAUGAAUAUAUAAGAAUAUUAAUGAAAUGAAAGCUUACCAUUUAAUAAAUAAUUAUUAGCUAUAAUAGUAUAUACUAGUAAAUUUUUAAGCACUAUUACUCACAUUUUAUAACUAAUUGUAAAUUCCCAUUGCCAUUUAUGCAUUUUUCGAUAAUUACCUUUUGUUUUGAUUUAUGCAUCCCGAUAAACGUAUAAACGCACAGCUGCACAAUCUCUCCUAAAUUGCACUUGCGGUUUAAUUUAACUUUUUAGACUGAAAUAAAGCUUAGACAAGUAUGGAGAAAAUGACCGGACGAUGUCCCGACUCUUCUCUCUAAAUCCAAUUAGCGGAUCUUCUCACUGCUAAGUUUGUUGCGCAUCUUAUAGGUGUUCCUACAAAUAGAAUUAAAAGUAAAAUGAAUUAAUUAA